rnacentral:rRNA from 1 species
AUUGAACGCUGGCGGCAGGCCUAACACAUGCAAGUCGAACGAGUGGCGGACGGGUGAGUCAUGUCUGGGAAACUGCCCGCUGGAGGGGGAUAACUACUGGAAACGGUAGCUAAUACCGCAUACCAUCGGAUGUGCCCAGAUGGGAUUAGCUUGUAGGUGAGGUAACGGCUCACCUAGGCGACGAUCCCUAGCUGGUCUGAGAGGAUGACCAGCCACACUGGAAGUGAGGCACUGUCUAGACUCCUACGUGAGGCAGCGGUGGGGAAUAUGGCACAAGGGGCGCAAGCCUGAUGCAGCCACGCCGCGUGUAUGAAGAAGGCCUUCGGGUUGGAAAGUACUUUCAGCGGGGAGGCGUUACCCGCAGAAGAAGCACCGGCUAACUCCGUGCCAGCAGCCGCGGUAAUUC